ACUCCUACGGGAGGCAGCAGUGGGGAAUUUUGGACAAUGGGCGCAAGCCUGAUCCAGCAAUGCCGCGUGCGGGAAGAAGGCCUUCGGGUUGUAAACCGCUUUUGGCAGGAACGAAACGGUGUCCGCUAAUACCGGGCGCUAAUGACGGUACCUGCAGAAUAAGCACCGGCUAACUACGUGCCAGCAGCCGCGGUAAUACA
rnacentral:rRNA from 1 species